GGAAACUUACAAGUAUACUAGUAAAGAUUGUUUCAAGAACAACGAGGUUGGGACGAACUGUUCUAAAAUCGUCAAUAUCAGUAAUACAUUACUAAGAUAUGCCUUUAAUUACAACAACUGUAUUACUAAUUUGGAUUAAUGACGGCUAUCCUAAAAAAAAUCCUCAAACAAAUUAAUGUAUUAGCUUAGAUUUAUAAUGUAUGUAUAUUCAUUAAUGAAAAAAUCGAUAAUUGGUAUUCUUUUCACAAAUAAUUUGUCUAAGUGAUUGUCAAAUGAAUUCAAUUAUGUAAGAAUGAAAUGUUAAUAAGAAAAUUAAAAAAAAUCAUGCAUGUUG